UUGUGGGGGGGCAGACUGAGGAGCCUUGCUGGCUUGCCUUCACCCCCCCACACCCGUCUGUUCCCGCUGGGUGGGGACGUGGCCCCAGCACUGCCCCGGGGGACACUCGGCGGGAGGGUCGUGCAGCCUUGCCAAGGGGUAGACCCAGAGCCAUGUUCUCCCAGACACAGGAGGCCUUGGGGCCUGGUAGUGCCAGCAACAGCAGCUGCCCUGCUGUUCCCUGCAGAGCCUGACACUAGGGCAGCGCUGAGCUCUAGUGCUUAAGGGACUCUGAAGGGGAAGGGCAAGGGGCCCUUUCACUCAGUGGAAAGUAGCUCUGCCGGCUCCUGUUUACCUCAGCCUGGUUUCUGGUGGCACCUGCUCUCUGGCCAGGUGCAGGAUGGAGACCUUGGAUGAGUUUGAUGAUGAGUACCCCCUCACCGUGUCAUUCUGCAAGCUGAUUUCCCUAGAGGACUUUGAGGAGCAGUCCUUGUCCUACACUGAACAGUGCCUGCAAGAACUGGUCACAAACAUGGAGCAGAGCCCAGGGAUCUGCGAGAGGGCCAUGAGAAAGCGGAAGCAGGUGGAGAAGGAAGAGGCUGGCCUGGUAUCGUUUCUAAAGGCCAAGUUUUUCGGCACACUUCAAGGGGAGAUGAAUUGCUGUAACUAUGUGGGGAUCGCAGAGAUGCAAGAGAAGGUGGCACAGUUGAAACGAGACAUGCAAAAAGCAAACAGCUAUGCUCGGGCAUGAUUGAUCUACAUCCUAUAGUGCUGAACCCUGCAGGCUUCUACACCUCCCUCCAGACUGGCAAUCACAUCAAUAAGCUGAGGCACACCAGCUUCCUAAGGCCUCUUGGCAUCAGUCCCACACCUUUCCAAAAACCAGGCCCUUCUGGCACAAAAUCUGCAGCCUCUGUUUUUAACACGCCCAUGCUGGCCAAGUUUCAAGCUGGCUCAGAAGAUGACAUGGAUAAUGAGAAACCUGGUCCCAGCUCUCCUCCAAAGGGGGCGUAAGGGUCUCUUCCUGUGUGGAAAACUGCUACUUGAAUAAAAAUGCCAUGGAAGCUACUUGGUUGUGUGAAGGAUAGUGCUAUGUAGUAGUCCUAGCCCUGAAACAAAGGAAACUGUACGU